rnacentral:rRNA from 1 species
GACGAACGCUGGCGGCGUGCCUAAUACAUGCAAGUAGAACGAGUUGCGAACGGGUGAGUAACGCGUGGUAACCUGCCUCAUAGCGGGGGAUAACUCUUGGAAACGAUAGCUAAUACCGCAUACUGUGAGAUGGACCUGCGUGGUGUUAGCUAGUUGGUGAGGUAACGGCUCACCUAGGCGACGGUCCCUAGCUGGUCUGAGAGGGUGAUCCGCCACACGGGAACUGAGACACGGUCCAGACUCCUACGGGAGGCAGCAGUGGGGAAUAUUGCACAAUGGGCGCAAGCCUGAUGCAGCCAUGCCGCGUGUAUAAAGAAGGCCUUCGGGUUGUAAAGUACUUUCAGCGGGGAGGCGUUACCCACAGAAGAAGCACCGGCUAACUCCGUGCCAGCAGCCGCGGUAAUUC